GUGAGUGGUGCUUGCAGUGGCAAAACUCUGCACUCGGUUGCUAGGGUGUUGCUAUGCGGUUACUAGGGUAACUGGGUUGGUUGCUAGGAUGUUGCUAUGCGGUUGCUAGGGUAGCCAGGGUGGUUGCUAAGGUGUUACUAUGCGGUUGCUACUGUAACCGGGGUGGUUGCUAGGGUGUUGCUAUGUGGUUGCUAGGGUACUCGGGGUGGUUGCUAGGGGGGUUGCUAGGGUACCCAGGGUGGUUGCUAAGGUGUUGCUAUGCGGUUGCUAGGGUAACCGGGGUGGUUGCUAGGGUGUUGCUAUGCGGUUGCUAGGGUACUCGGGGUGGUUGCUAGGGCGGUUGCUAGGGUACCCAGGGUGGUUGCUAAGGUGUUGCUAUGCGGUUGCUAGGGUAACCGGGGUGGUUGCUAGGGUGUUGCUAUGCGGUUGCUAGGGUACUCGGGGUGGUUGCUAAGGUGUUUCUAUGUGGUUGCUAGGGUAACUGGGGUGGUUGCUAGGGUGUUGCUAUGCGGUUGCUAGGGUACUUGGGGUGGUUGCUAAGGCGGUUGCUAAGGUACUUAGGGUGGUUG